rnacentral:tRNA from 1 species
GCGGAGGUGCCGGAGCGGUCAAACGGAACUGGUUUAGGCCCAGUUGGCUUAGUGCCUACGCAGGUUCAAAUCCUGUCCUCCGCA